rnacentral:rRNA from 1 species
UGGGUAGGGGAGCGUUCUGUAAGCCUGCGAAGGUGGCCUGUGAGGGUUGCUGGAGGUAUCAGAAGUGCGAAUGCUGACAUAAGUAACGAUAAAGCGGGUGAAAAGCCCGCUCGCCGGAAGACCAAGGGUUCCUGUCCAACGUUAAUCGGGGCAGGGUGAGUCGACCCCUAAGGCGAGGCCGAAAGGCGUAGUCGAUGGGAAACAGGUUAAUAUUCCUGUACUUGGUGUUACUGCGAAGGGGGGACGGAGAAGGCUAUGUUAGCCGGGCGACGGUUGUCCCGGUUUAAGCAUGUAGGCUGGUUAUCCAGGCAAAUCCGGAUAAUCAAGGCUGAGGUGUGAUGACGAGGCACUACGGUGCUGAAGUAACAAAUGCCCUGCUUCCAGGAAAAGCCUCUAAGCAUCAGGUAACAUUAAAUCGUACCCCAAACCGACACAGGUGGUCAGGUAGAGAAUACCAAGGCGCUUGAGAGAACUCGGGUGAAGGAACUAGGCAAAAUGGUGCCGUAACUUCGGGAGAAGGCACGCUGGUGUGUAGGUGAAGUCCCUGCGGAUGGAGCUGAGACCAGUCGAAGAUACCAGCUGGCUGCAACUGUUUAUUAAAAACACAGCACUGUGCAAACACGAAAGUGGACGUAUACGGUGUGACGCCUGCCCGGUGCCGGAAGGUUAAUUGAUGGGGUUAUCCGUAAGGAGAAGCUCUUGAUCGAAGCCCCGGUAAACGGCGGCCGUAACUAUAACGGUCCUAAGGUAGCGAAAUUCCUUGUCGGGUAAGUUCCGACCUGCACGAAUGGCGUAAUGAUGGCCAGGCUGUCUCCACCCGAGACUCAGUGAAAUUGAACUCGCUGUGAAGAUGCAGUGUACCCGCGGCAAGACGGAAAGACCCCGUGAACCUUUACUAUAGCUUGACACUGAACAUUGAGCCUUGAUGUGUAGGAUAGGUGGGAGGCUUUGAAGCGUGGACGCCAGUCUGCGUGGAGCCAACCUUGAAAUACCACCCUUUAAUGUUUGAUGUUCUAACGUUGGCCCCUGACCGGGGUUGCGGACAGUGUCUGGUGGGUAGUUUGACUGGGGCGGUCUCCUCCCAAAGCGUAACGGAGGAGCACGAAGGUUAGCUAAUCCUGGUCGGACAUCAGGAGGUUAGUGCAAUGGCAUAAGCUAGCUUGACUGCGAGCGUGACGGCGCGAGCAGGUGCGAAAGCAGGUCAUAGUGAUCCGGUGGUUCUGAAUGGAAGGGCCAUCGCUCAACGGAUAAAAGGUACUCCGGGGAUAACAGGCUGAUACCGCCCAAGAGUUCAUAUCGACGGCGGUGUUUGGCACCUCGAUGUCGGCUCAUCACAUCCUGGGGCUGAAGUAGGUCCCAAGGGUAUGGCUGUUCGCCAUUUAAAGUGGUACGCGAGCUGGGUUUAGAACGUCGUGAGACAGUUCGGUCCCUAUCUGCCGUGGGCGCUGGAGAAUUGAGGGGGGCUGCUCCUAGUACGAGAGGACCGGAGUGGACGCAUCACUGGUGUUCGGGUUGUCAUGCCAAUGGCACUGCCCGGUAGCUAAAUGCGGAAGAGAUAAGUGCUGAAAGCAUCUAAGCACGAAACUUGCCCCGAGAUGAGUUCUCCCUGAGACUUUAAGUCUCCUGAAGGAACGUUGAAGACGACGACGUUGAUAGGCCGGGUGUGUAAGCGCAGCGAUGCGUUGAGCUAACCGGUACUAAUGAACCGUGAGGCUUAACCUU